CUGAUUCAUCCCAGGUGGAGCUACCUAGUAAUAUAAAUUAAAAGUGAAAAAAUGCUAUCAAUAUAUAUAUAUGAAGUAGAUCUCUCUCAAAAUUAAUUUUGAAAUGAUACACAUUUUAUCUACAACAAAAUAAGUUCAUAUUAAGUGAUUGUCACUUCAGCUUUGUGACAUAUAGGGGUAUGAAUACCAACUCUAUUAUAUCAAGUUCAACAAACCAUUUCAAGAUACAGACUUCCAACUGAAUGAUCUUGACCUUACUCAAGGUUAUUUCACUCAACACCAAAGGUGCAAAUUACAUUAAUAUUAAAAAGUGUGACCAAAUAUCUAAAAUGUAAUUGUAAUCAAAUCUAAACAUUAAGGGAUUAAGUAUUUUACAUGGCUAUGCAGACCCAACAGUGUCCUACAUAUUUUGUAAAUAUUUUGAUCAGAUACCAAUACCUAUAACAAGACUAACAAAAAUAACUUGCUGAUAAUAAAGAUUCAUUGAUAUU